GGGUCAGUAGGUUGGUCGUGCCACCGGUACGUACUGGUCUCACUGAUUCCUCCUUCCUGAAGAACCGUAAUGCCAUUAAUUUGGUGUUGCGGGGAAACAGGACUGUUACUUUGAAAAAAUUAGAGUGUUUAAAGCAAGCUAACGCUUGAAUACAUUAGCAUGGAGUAAUGAAAAGGACGAUCGAUCCUAUUUUGUUGGUUUCUAGGAUUGACGUA
rnacentral:rRNA from 1 species